GNGCGAGCUGAUUCAAGAUCCCUUCGGGGUGAUUUGUUGGACGCUAGCGGCGGAUGGGUGAGUAACACGUGGGCAAUCUGCCCUAAAGACUGGGAUACCACUUGGAAACAGGUGCUAAUACCGGAUAACAACAUGAAUCGCAUGAUUCAAGUUUGAAAGGCGGCGUAAGCUGUCACUUUAGGAUGAGCCCGCGGCGCAUUAGCUAGUUGGUGGGGUAAAGGCCUACCAAGGCAAUGAUGCGUAGCCGAGUUGAGAGACUGAUCGGCCACAUUGGGACUGAGAACACGGG
rnacentral:rRNA from 1 species